ACGGCCAUACCACAUUGAAAACACCGGUUCUCGUCCGAUCACCGAAGUUAAGCAAUGUCGGGCCCGGUCAGUACUUGGGAGGGUGACCACCUGGGAACACCGGGUGCUGUAGGCU
rnacentral:rRNA from 1 species